rnacentral:lncRNA from 1 species
GGAAAAUAUGAUUUCUCGACUGCCUUUGCACAUGCUUUUGACUUAAGGAACCUUUUAAUAUCGGGAUCAAAAAAAAGAAAACCCAUUUUGGUUGUUGAAGCUGAUUGGGCUCAGGAUGAGGCUCCAAGGAAUGUAAAGCCAUUAGAUUGUUCUGUCAGUUUGUUCAAAGAGCUAAAGCUUGAUGCUUUGAUACAUGGAGUCAAUGCUGCUGGACUCUCCGCUUUUAACCAAGUAGAAAUGGGGAUGGCAAAAUUAAGUCAUAACUUAUCUGGUAUAAUUCUUACCCAUGGCACUUAGGGUCCUCAUCUGAAUGAAUCUGGAAAAACUAUCAACCCUGAACUGGAGGGAGAAAAAAAAUUUCGCUGCAUCUUAAGCUCUCUCUGAAGUCACUGUCAUUGAUAAUUAUUUAGUUGACUGUUUACCACUUUAAAAAGUCUCUAAAUUUAUUCCUGAGGAACCAAGUGCUAAGUGGUUUUCAAUGCUUGUAUUACAAUCGCGUUAUGCAUUGCUAAUAGUUAAAUGCUUCGACAAAAAUUGCUGUGAGCCUCUUCGGACCAAUUGGAAUCGUGUUUUCCCCUACAGAUUUUUGCCGACUCCUUUAGUCUACAAGUAUGGUACAAGUGGAUUAUAAAUUGUGGAACCGCCGGUAUAUUUUCAUAAUUCGUCAAAUUUCAAUUUUUGUCUCUGCAAGAGCGUCUUUUAACCAAAUUACAUUCAAGGGGGGGAAAAUGGAAUCCCUAAAGCAAUGUCUUUUGACUCUUACUGUCCUUCAAUUAAGUUCAAAUUAGAAAAAUGUAUUAGUUCAAAAUGUAAAUUAUCUUAGCCUUCCCACACUCCAAUGAAGUUUCACCUUAAAUCUCAUAAUGAGAAUAAUGAAAAGGAUACCAAUUUUGCCCAAGAAAAUAAUUUACAUGAUGUAUUGCCAAUAGAAAAACAUUUAUCAUCACCAUUCGAAGAUGCUUGAUCAUUGAUAUUUUUCUAUUCUUUUCUAUAUUUUAUCUCAGUUUAUAUAUUUAUUAUACCAAAAGAAAUAUAAAAAAAGACUAGAGGAAAAUAAAUAAAGGAAGGCAUCGUAUAAAAUAUUUAAAAGGAACCAAAUUUGAAAUAUAAGUCCUAAUGAACAUUUAAUUACGCAAUUUAUGAUUAAAAUAUUUUAAGCCAUCUUUCAGUUUGAUUAAAAUAGAAAUUCAUUAUCCAUUGUAUAUAUUUCCAAUCAACUUGGGAAUCUUGAUUUUGAUAUUCUAUCCUAUAUCUUAUGAAUGAUUUUAUGCAUUCAAAGUUCUUAAAGGUUCGACAAAUAUUUAAUGAUAACUUAACAAAAGGAGAGGGGCUAACAAAAACUGAAUUGUUUUGAGAUGGGGGAGGCGUAAAAACGAUGUUAUAGGACAUGGGAAGGGGUGAGGUUAAAAAUGAAAAAAAAUUGCCGACGUAAUUUGUCGAUGGCCCAAAAUUUAAAAUUUCUUUUUUUUCAAAUGGUUUUGAGUGUUAUGUUUAAAUUCUAUGAAUAUAACUUAUCUAUCAUAUUUAUGUUCAGAUAAUCUUAAGUAAUGCAUAUUUUAAUCGAAAGCGUGUUUCUUUUUUUGUUCAUUUAGUAUUGUUGUGAUUUGGUGCAAAUUGAUUUAUUGAAUCCUGAGUGAAUCAUUAAUAUUUUUGUAUGUAAAUAUAGUUAAUAUUUAUAGUACUCUCUUCUAUUAAGAGUACUUAGUAGUAAGGGGCACUUUUCAAGAGCCAGGUCAUGAAUGUGCAUUCCUGACUUGAUUUUGGUAUUUGCUGAUAAUUUGCACCAAUAGUGUCCUAUUAAACUAUCCUUAAGUCGGUUUGUCAAUUUUUGUCUUGAGUCAAUAUCAAAAUGAAUAUGAAUAAUAAACAGGAAAAAUACAUUUA